UCGUCCUUGUUGCUUGCUGGUUUGGAGACUCAAGGGCAGUGCUUGGAAUGUGGGGAGAGGAAAGUUUGCUGAGUUUUCUGUGAGGUUACUACCUGAGAAGCUGGUUGAAAGCUUUAGAGAGGUUUUUGAGCCUCUUUAAGUUGAACUUGUACUCUUGGAAGCUGGUUUGGAGGAUAUUCUAAUCAAGGCGAGAGUGCGAUCGAGCCUU